rnacentral:rRNA from 1 species
CGAAGGUCCCAAGCGUUAUCCGGAUUUAUUGGGUUUAAAGGGUGCGUAGGCGGGUUAUUAAGUCAGUGGUGAAAGCUCCAUGCCUAACAUGGAAAUUGCCAUUGAUACUGAUGAUCUUGAGUACAUUUGAAGUGGGCGGAAUGUGUCAUGUAGUGGUGAAAUACUUAGAUAUGACACAGAACACCGAUUGCGUAGGCAGCUCACUAAACUGUAACUGACGCUGAGGCACGAAAGCGUGGGGAGCAAACAGGAUUAGAUACCCUGGUAGUCCACGCCCUAAACGAUGAUCACUCGAUGUGUGCGAUACACUGUACGCGUCCAAGCGAAAGCAUUAAGUGAUCCACCUGGGGAGUACGGCCGCAAGGCUG